rnacentral:rRNA from 1 species
UACGUAGGGUGCAAGCGUUGUCCGGAAUUAUUGGGCGUAAAGGGCUCGUAGGCGGUUUGUCGCGUCGGCUGUGAAAUCCCGAGGCUCAACCCCGGACUUGCAGUGGGUACGGGCAGACUAGAGUGUGGUAGGGGAGACUGGAAUUCCUGGUGUAGCGGUGAAAUGCGCAGAUAUCAGGAGGAACACCGAUGGCGAAGGCAGGUCUCUGGGCCACUACUGACGCUGAGAAGCGAAAGCAUGGGGAGCGAACAGG